CAGCCGCCACUGUAAUACGGAGGGUGCAAGCGUUAAUCGGAAUUACUGGGCGUAAAGCGCACGCAGGCGGUCUGACAAGUCAGAUGUGAAAUCCCCGGGCUUAACCUGGGAACUGCAUUUGAAACUGUCAGGCUGGAGUCUUGUAGAGGGGGGUGGAAUUCCAGGUGUAGCGGUGAAAUGCGUAGAGAUCUGGAGGAAUACCGGUGGCGAAGGCGGCCCCCUGGACAAAGACUGACGCUCAGGUGCGAAAGCGUGGGGAGCAAACAGGAUUAGAUACCCCUGUAGUCCCUGUCUCUUAUAC
rnacentral:rRNA from 1 species